AGUUAGGGCUCCAAAAUAGGGGUUUUGUGAAUUGUAGGGUAUUGAUCUAAAUUGAUUAAGUGUAAACCUAAUUGCUAGGUGUUUAAACGCGUUGGCGAAGACGGUUCGACGAUUCGUCGAACGGGUGCAAAGUUAUUGGCGAAAGGGACUUCUGAGUUUCGUUUUCGCCUAGGAGGCCGAGACGACGUUGUAAAAUCGGCGAACUUCAUUCCUAGAGUUGUGACAGCGCCAAAAGGUGGGUGGUGUCAUCCCGAAGCAACCGGGCUCCUCUUUAUGUCUUAGUGCAUUGUAAUCUUGCAUCUUUUGCUGUUGAAGGAUAAAAAAAGAGAGAGGAAUAAAAGAGGAAAAAGAAAAAGAAAAAAAAGGGGGAGAGAAAGAAAUAAAAACAGAGAUGGUUUAUGAGAUUAUCCAUGCACCAGGUGCAUGGAUAAAAUUUAAAUUUUGAAAAUAUCUCAUGCACCGGGAGCAUAAAUUACGAAAAGUGGGACGUUCUCGUAGAUACGAACGGGUAUUAAAAAUAGCAUAUUAGCCCUUUCCCUUUC
rnacentral:lncRNA from 1 species